rnacentral:rRNA from 1 species
GACGAACGCUGGCGGCGUGCUUAACACAUGCAAGUCACGGGGGUCCCGCAAGGGAUAACCGGCGAACGGGUGCGUAACACGUGAACAACCUGCCCUCGUGUGGGGGAUAGCCAUGCUAACGCGUGGGUAAUACCGCAUACGUUCCCCUGGAGGAGUCUCUGGGGGAGGAAAGCUCCGGCGCACGGGGAGGGGUUCGCGGCCUAUCAGCUAGUUGGCGGGGUAAUGGCCCACCAAGGCGACGACGGGGUAGCUGGCUGAGAGGAUGGCCAGCCACAUUGGGACUGAGAGACGGCCCAGACUCCUACGGGAGGCAGCAGUGGGGAAUCCUGCGCAAUGGCCGAAAGGCUGACGCAGCGACGCCGCGUGUGGGAUGAAGCAUUUCGGUGUGUAAACCACUGUUGCCCGGGACGAACAGCCUGUUUCGAC